UCGGGACAUCGAGAUCCUGUGGAAGUAUUCCAUUUGAGAUAAUGUGGGACGAGGUUUCGGUGCCGCUUGCUGUGCUUGCUGACGGGCGGCAGCGCUCCGUGAUUGCGCCGACCAAACCCCUUUGGCUGACGGCGUGCACGGAGGCGACCCGUUCGGUUUUAAUGUCAUAGCAGAAAUAUGAAAGGGUUCUCAGUGAAGGAGUGCGAUCAGAGAGCUGCGGCGGGGCUUUGUCAGUGCCAUUCCGGGUGCAUUUUCCCGGGAUUAUCGGGACGCGAAUAGAAUUGUCUGAUACCUGAUCCCCUUCCAAGUGCUCAGGUUAUGAAGAUUAAUGACGGGAGGCCCAAAAUGCCAACAUCACCCCGGCGGUAACUAGUGACCCGCUCAGAUAUAGCGUAAAGCAAUGGGCUCGGGAGCUGAAGCGAGCGUAACCCAUGUCUGUGCAGACACCCGUACCGAGGGAGCUGACCCUACUCACAUUGCCCGAGUCAGGGCACUUUUCUGGCGGUAGGGUGGCUUUUCAAGUCUAACAAUAGUUAGCAAGCACAGCUGCAAGUAAUGGAAAGGGGAAAAGGUAACUGUGCUCUGAAAGUAAAUAAAUGGCAUACAGCAGUGUAAAUUGUGAGUAAAGAGCACCAGCCAUUUCCGUGACCUUAAAGUGAGGAGGGACAAAGAAUUGGAACUGAGUAUGUUUCUGUUUAUAAAGCUUAUUGGGGGAAACCGCUCUGUAACAGCUCGAUGCUUAAACAUAAAAAGCAAAAUAAACAAAAAAAACCCCUCGUUAUUGAGAUACUGAAUUAGAAGCGGGAAGGAUGUUUGCGGUGGCAUGGGAGGCCAUGGUGGCAUGCUCUUGCAACAACCGAUAAAACCAAGAAUAAUAAUUUUGUAUGCUACACAAUGGUUAAAAUGUAAAAAAUAACAUUGUUAAAUCUUGCGUACUCUGAUUGCACUGAAGUUUAUUUCAACAAAGGCUCCAGUCUUGUGCCGUAGGCAGAAAAAUGCCAUAUACAGCUGAUGAUGGAACCAAGUCAGCGUGCUGUAGGCCCUGAUUGGAUGUGUGAGGUGGAGAAGGGCACUGGGCUGGCUCUGGCAGACCUCUGUGCUCCCUUGGAUGUGGCUGCAGGAUGUGCUGAAGCAUGUUGCUGUGGGACCUUGUCCCAGGCUGAGUGGCAGAGAUUCCUUGCCUUACUGUGUUUGUUAUAAGGAUGAGUUGUUAAUGCACACGCUGGUAUGUGAGCAUCACUGAGAAUUUUGGAGGAUGACGGCUUUGUAUUUGUUAUGUGAAGAAUUAGAAUUAGAAGAGAACUGAUUGCUCUUGACAUCUAUGUUUUACUCUUCAAUCUCUUUCAGAAGACCAUGCAUAAUGAACUGUGCAGGGAUGGUCUUGCACCCUACUCAUUCUACCAUACAAUAUGAACGUGUAUCUUUCUACUGCAAAAACUGUUUUAAUAUCGAGAAAUGGCAUUAAAAAGUUAAAUUUCACUCCGUAAUAUAGCCAGCACCUUGUCAACAAUAAUGUUCCUCCCUUAUGUUUUUAAUUUGUUAUUUUCCGUCCUCAAAUGGUACCAGGGAGGUUUCAUAGAUGAAUCUUUUUAGUUCCUUUUCAUCCUUUCAGGCAAAGUAGAACAGAAGUGGCUCCCUCAGAGCGUAGGCCAAGCUGACCUGGUUCAGUGGAAAUUCUUUGAAGGCAAUGGAGGGUUGUUGGCAUUGCCACCCAACAAGCAAAACACAAAGCUCGAGGCCCAAAGUGGCAUUCCCAGCACAGUAAUGCAUCGUGCUGACAUGACAUCGUGCUGGGUGGCAGGUUUUGUAUUGUCUUUGUUGACGGUGCAAAUCCCCACUAAAACCAACAGGAUUUAGGCAAGGCCGUGAAUGCCUGUUAUGUGUUUCAGACUUCAGACCACAUCUCUGCUGUGCAAAGUAAAAUAUCACUGUGUGUGUAAACUGUGCCAUUUGAACAGAAAGUGCGCUUGCAAAGCUGCAGUUUGUUGUUGAGCAGUGGUAUCAACUUACUAGAAAUGUCACGAGGGAUUAAUAUAAAGAAGUAUUAAACAGGAUUUGUGCCCUUUUAUAUUUGGUUUGGUUGUAUCUUGGAGGCCUGUGGAAACUGCAGCCAAACUUCUGUUAAUGUCACGCUCGUGAAAGAAUGUGAGCAUUCUCUGUAGAUUUGUUUGAGCUUUUGUGUGUAUUUCUAUGUAGAAAUGUGCAUGUCUGCAGAAGAAAAAAUGAACCAGCUUGUGAAACCCUCCAAGAAAUUUCACGCUUUAUUGAGAAAGAGCGAAGCUUGAGGAAGGAGGAGGCUGUGGGAAGGCUAUUUGUGCCAGGAACCACCAGCAUGGCAGGCGUCUCCUCCCUUCUCAGACAUUACCUGCAGCCCCUCUGACAAUACAGCUGUACUACCCUAAUAUCCUCCACAAACAUACACCUCUGACUUGGGUAUUGUUUUACAGAAGUUAGCAGGACCAGUCUUGUCCUUAAAAGUGCUUACAUGCAUGUUCACAUGUAGGACAGGAGCCAAGGCAAAUAAAUGUAUCUAUUUCAUAAUGA